AGUAAGUUCCUUUGGGAGUAUCAGCCGGUGGCUUUGAGUGGUUAAAAGCAGAUGGGGACAGUGGAUACCAACCCUGCCAUAACCUUGCUACAAGGUCACUGAGUGAGCAAUCUGUAUCAUAUUCCAACUGUGGACGAAUACUUUAUUCUCAAGCAGGAACACUCCCUGGCCUGUCUGCAGGCAGGGAGAGACCCUACUCAGCCUCUGGCACGUAGGGCAGCAUUGACAGAGAAAGGCAGGACUCGGGAGAGUGUCAGAAAAGGCACAUGGCUUUAUGACAAGAACACCACGGCCUGCCCGACUGCCAAUAGCCAGCUUGCAUUCUCUAAAAUCUGGCCACAGCACUCCUAGUCCUGCAACUUCCUGCAACAGCUACAGCACUCGCAAAUGGGCUCACAGCUGGCUUCAAAUGCCUCAGUCAUCAUACUGACAGCCCUAAUGCUCUUACCUAUGCAGUAAUGUCCAAAAGGACAAGGACAUAUGUGCUGGAGGAUAGGAGCUACAAUCUGGCUUACGCUGCCUUCCAAGUGGAGUCUCAGCCUUCCACUCCCUCAGCUGUGGUACUCUGGACCCUACCUGACCGCUGCCACCACCUCAUCCUACUUAACUAUUGUUGGUCACCCUCACCAGGUUCUGUGGGCUUGGCU
rnacentral:lncRNA from 1 species